AUGCUGUGAGGAAGGGGAAAAAAUGAAGAGAGAGAGAGAGAGAGAGAGAGAGAAUCUUACCGUCGACAUACAAAAAUUUGGGAAAACCACGAAGACGCAACACUCGAAUCUCACCAAAAUUUCAAGAAUGCAAAGUGUGAGAGUGGUCUAUUGAAUGGGCUUUUGAAAGUGAGGAUAAAUUGAAGAAACCGCAGCAACGUGGGGAAAAAGAAAAGAGAAACUGACAAGGAAGAAGAUAAAAUUGGGGGAGGGGGAAAAAAAGCUAAAAUUCAAAAGGGGAAACACUUACCUAAAGGCACCUUGUAGUGCUUUAGCUGGGCAUUCUACUAAGUUUGGGCUUGGGCUCUUGGCCAAGUGCUACAGUGUUCCUCCACUGAAAAACAACCACUAACUCGUUGGCUCCACCCAUUUGGCACCUGCACAAGGAAUUUACUACAUUUCCUCUUAGCACGCACGACCCUUUUCCUGGUGGCAAAGGGUUUUUGGUAUCGCCUCUUCCCCUUCCUUUCCUCCACUCUGUUGCGACGAUUUAUCUAUGGGCUGGACUCGUGAAAUGGAUUUUUCUGAAUGUACAAAAGUUGUGUACAACAGAAUUCAGAAAAUAGAGCCUGAAAAACAGCAUUCGUCUUGUUGAUAGCCAAUAUCAAGAGAUAUUGUAUCAAGAGAAAUGAGAACUCCUGAACAGCAAUCAGAAGCUCUGGAUGCUAUCAAGGACACCAUAUUGGAUAUUGUGCUUAUAGUGGUCAUUGGGUAUGAUACUCUCAAAUUUACAGAAACAAGAAAAAAUAGAUUGUAGACCUAGAUAAUAUGUUUAUGGCUUUUGCCACUGGCUUAUAAGUUCUUAAAUAACCUUAUAACUUUGAAAUGGUCAUGUGUGCCUCAGAGAAUAUUUUAUUAGGCUGAGUAUAAGAUAACCUCACAAUGGAUAGUGUGCAUUGUAAGGUUAUCUGAUUUAAUCAAUGAGGUUUUACUUAGAAGAUUGUUUAUAUAUAAUUUACUGUGUGUUUUAGCUCUUUAUA